rnacentral:rRNA from 1 species
UACGGGGGGAGCAAGCGUUGUUCGGAUUUACUGGGCGUAAAGGGCGCGGUAGGCGGUCGUGACAAGUCACUUGUGAAAUCUCCGGGCUUAACUCGGAACGGUCAAGUGAUACUGUCGGACUAGAGUACAGAAGGGGCAACUGGGAAUUCUCGGUGUAGCGGUGAAAUACGUAGAUAUCGAGAGGAACACCUGCGGCGAAGGCGGGUUGCUGGGCUGAUACUGACGUGAGGCGCGAAAGCCAGGGGGAGCGAACGGG